rnacentral:misc_RNA from 1 species
AGCAAUGACCGGUCGUUUAUAAUGGUCAUUGCUAGAUUUUUCCAUGCGAUAUAAAAGGGGAAAUGGCGCGCCGAUUGUUCGAAGGUUGCAAACACGCGGCGGAAUACGCAAAAUAUCGGCCACGGUCUCCGCCGGCCGUGGCCGAAAAAAUUAUUCAAUACCUGAAAGAAAAGAUUACAACUUUGAAUCGUGCAUUAGAUAUUGGAUGUGGAUCUGGUCAAAGCACAGCAUUGUUUGCUUCACAUUUUGAAAAAGUAACUGGUAUCGAUGUAAGCGAGGCACAGAUUGAAGAAGCAAUUAAAAACAAUAAAUUCACAAAUGUAGAAUACAAAGUUUCCUCUGCCGAAGACACAAAGCUCAAGAAUGAAAGCAUUCAGCUCAUCACAGCCAGCCAGAGCGUCCACUGGUUCAACAUAGAUAAAUUUUAUAAUGAAGUCAACAGGUUACUUGUACCAAAUGGAGUUUUGGCCAUGUAUGGAUAUUCUGUCAUGAUGCCUCAUCCUUUGGAUGUGAAUGUAAGAGAAAAAGCUGUAGACGUAGUGAAUAAGUUUUAUGCAGAAGAUAUUGGAAAAUAUUGGUCGCCUGAGAGAAAACACAUUGAUAAUAAUUAUAAAGACAUUACAUUUCCGUAUCGUGAUUAUAUCAGGACUACUGUCACUCAUCAAAGUGAUUUGCCACUUCUAAAUUAUUUGGGGUAUUUUACCACAUGGAGUAGUUAUCAAGAAUUAUUGAAGGAAGAUGCAAAGAAAGCAGAAUUUGUAAUGACUAGAUUUCAAAAUAGUUGAUUUGUGAAGGAGAGCUGUCGGAAGGAUGGAAGCAGGCCAAUUCCAGUCCAAAGUUGCAAAAUGGCAUAAUGUUAACAGAAAUGUAAUCUGUCAGCUCCGGAAGCAAUUCCAAGAAACCGAAACCAUUGCCAGCGGACCAGUACAGAACCAAAUAAGAUCCAUGCAUUCAGAUUUUAUCUGACUGCUACUGCUAAGAGUGAUAGGGGACAGCUAUUAAGCUCUUUCUUCAACAAGUUCUUGACUACCUUUUGGAAUGAUUGUUUCAAGGAGAGCCUGCUUGAAUUGGUGUCGUGAACAUCAGUCAUGAACCCAGGAUUGACAGGCUCACAUUCGCUUCAGCAGUGAGUUGCAAUUCAAUGAUUUACAACAAGUCUUCCACAUCUCAAGAGAGCCUAGGUGCCACUAACAUCGGGGAGAGAGAGUUUUGGAGGGUUCUUGUGGUCCGGGCAGGCAUCGUUUUGAACGGCCAUAAACCUCUCUGCAUGUUUGAUUGAGGCGCCCUUAAUGCCAAAAGUAUAGGGAUCAGAUCCUCAAGCACUAAGUAAGACACGGGUGUUGUUGGCCCCCAAUUUGUUUUUAUUCUUGCAAACACAAGAUUGCUACACAUAAUAGGUACUGCAUAUAAGGGGUUAAUUACACUCGCAAUCAUAUUUAUUGUUGUGACUUACUUAUUGUUUGGAUGAAGUUUCCAUUCACUAGUUAAGGUCGUUACAGAAUAAUAUAUGUUAAUGUAGAAUAUUACAAAUGUAAGUUAUGGCAACUCAUUAAAAAAUCAAUUAUAGCGAAUAAAGAAUUAAUUUAUUCUUACUUUUCACAAAACACAGGUUGAGGGAAGUUCUGGAGGCAUCGUCCGACCACGUUCCUCUUAAAGUUCAAACAGAAUAUUUUAUUCUGAUGGGAAGAAAAGAUGUCGAUCAACGUAAUUAUUAAUUUACUAAAGCCAACCACUGCCGUAUGCCAUCGGGC